GGCUAAGUUGAGGGAACAUGGCGACGUCUAAUUUGUUAAAGAAUAAAGGCUCCCUCCAGUUUGAGGACAAGUGGGAUUUGAUGCGCCCCAUCGUUCUGAAACUGCUUCGCCAGGAGUCUGUCACCAAACAGCAGUGGUUUGACCUCUUCUCAGACGUUCAUGCGGUUUGUCUUUGGGAUGAUAAAGGUCCAGCAAAGAUCCAUCAGGCUCUCAAAGAAGAUAUUCUAGAUUUUAUCA